rnacentral:rRNA from 1 species
CCCUUAGAUGUCCUGGGCCGCACGCGCGCUACACUGAUGCAUUCAACGAGUAAUUAUUCCUUGGCCGAGAGGCCUGGGUAAUCUUUUAAACGUGCAUCGUGAUAGGGAUAGAUUAUUGCAAUUAUUAAUCUUGAACGAGGAAUUCCUAGUAAACGCAGAUCAUCAAUCUGCAUUGAUUACGUCCCUGCCCUUUGUACACACCGCCCGUCGCACCUACCGAUUGGAUGAUCCGGUGAGCUAUUCGGACUUUCGCAUUGUCGAUUUUCGGCUUUACGAGGGAAAGUCUCGCGAACCUUAUCAUCUAGAGGAAGGAGAAGUCGUAACA